rnacentral:rRNA from 1 species
GAUGAACGCUGGCGGCGUGCCUAAUACAUGCAAGUCGAGCGAAGCGGGGACGGGUGAGUAACACGUGGAUAACCUCCUAUAAGACUGGGAUAACUUCGGGAAACCGGAGCUAAACCGGAUACUUAUCGAUGGAUCCGCGCUGCAUUAGCUAGUUGGUAGGGUAACGGCUUACCAAGGCAACGAUGCAUAGAGGACCUUAGAGGGUGAUCAGCCAAACUGGAACUGAGACACGGGCCAGGCUCCUACGGGAGGCAGCAGUAGGGAAUAUUCCUCAAUGGGCGAAAGCCUGACGGAGCAACGCCGCGUGGGUGAUGAAGGUCUUCGGAUCGUAAAACUCUUUUAUUAGGGAGGCGGUACCUACUCAGAAAGCAACGGCUAACUACGUGCCAGCAGCCGCGGUAAUAC